CGCGCCCGGGACGCCGGCCCAGCGGAGAAGGCGCCCGGCUCCGGCCGCCGCUCGGAAUAAAACCGUCGCCACGGCUCCGGGGUCGGGCCCGCGCGAGUCUCCGCUUCUGCCCGGCUCGCCGCCCACGGGUGUUUCGUGUCCGCCCCCGGCACGGCUGUGCUACGCACCUCACCCCCAUCUCUCGGCUCCAGCGCUUCCGCAGACCACCCUCACGUGGCCGCCGCCUCCCGGCCAGGCAGUCCCCGCCGACCAGGGCUGCGGACCCUCGCGCACUAAGGGACCCGGCGCCGGCUCCCACCCCGUGGGGCGCCACCCCUGUCGGACCACCCAGCCCGCAUUCCGUCCGGGGCCGGGGGGGGGGGGGGGGCCACGAGCUGUCAGAUGCCUAGUUUUCCACAUGACGAAGCUUACCCUCACCCUUAAACAUCCCCACUCACCCUUCAGCCUAGCUCCGAGCUGAAUCAGUAUUUAAAACGGGAGGAGUGGGGUGUAACGUCUUGAUUUUUCUCCCUAAUUUGCAAAAAAAAAAAAAAUUAAGACGCAGCUCUGCCCAUCCACGUCGUCCCACCAAAUGCAAGACUUACGAAAUAGAAAUGCCCACCACACACCUGCUACGCAACCAGCCCUCUGGAAACCUGCAGACCCACCCAGCCCGCCUUCAGGAACCUGCGCCUGGGGUGGGGUGGGAGCGCGACAGUCCGGUCCCCUAAAGUAAGAGGGACUGAGAAGGACAGGCACCCCCUCGCCCCUCCCGGGAGCGCUGUCCUCCUGUUCCCCAGCCCCAGAGCAAUCCGAGGCAUCCUCCGUCCCUCCCGGCGAAAAGGAGGUAGCCAAAGGCCUGAGUGCCAGGGGUGUUUUUCCCUUUCAGAACCCAGACGCCGCGUCCUCCGCGAGGACCCCCCGCGCCCCCUCCCCCCCCCCCGCCGCCGCCGCCGCCGCCGCCGCCGCCUGCUUUCUCGUGGACAGCAAAGGUGGGGUAGGUGGGAGAAACCGGCGAGUGCUCUCCGGAUUCGGGAUGUUGGUCUCGGCGGAGUGAAGAGCAGCUCCGGAGGAACCAUGUGGCAUGAAGCCACCUCAAAGGGGAAAAAAGUGCUCUUAGCAACACAAACAUGGCGAAAUCGCCUCGGCAUUCCCGGCCAACGCCACAACCCCUACCUUCCCUCGCCCGGCUUCCGAACAUCCCGGCCGUGACCUGCGGCCCCUUCCGGGGGGAGGCCCGGGGCCCCGGGGAGUCCGAGGGUGGGUCCGCCGGGCGUGCGAAAGAGGAAAUAACAGAGUCCACAGUGGAAAUGUUUCUGCUGGACCAUCCGACCCAUCCGCCUCGCCAGCAGCGAGGGGACGCCUCGUUCAUCUCGACAGGGCUCAACGGAGAACAAAAUUCCCACCCCAAAGUCCUGCUGGGCCGGCUCUCCCCACCCUCCAGAACUUACCUUGGGGCGGAAUGCACGCUGCCGCUUGAAUCCCUUUCUCUUUCCUUCUAGAGCGAGACGCAAGGAGGAAAAUGAUGCGCACGUAUAUUUGUAGAGCAUAUUCUUCUAGAAUUUCCCUUUGAUCGUCACGAGGAGCGAUGGAGGCUCCGGAGACAGGUGCGGUGGUGGCCGAGGCUGCCGGCGAAAAGUUGUUCUCUCCGCGGUGGGCGGCGGGGUCCCCGGGCCGGGGCUGAGGACCCCGUCUCCCUGCCCACCUCCCCCCCCCCCCCGCCCCGGCGUCGCCCACUUCUCGCAGGCUGCUGCGUGCGGCUUGGCUGCAGGGGAGGUGGCGUAGUUUCUCUUCCUCCCACCUCUUCUCACUCACUUGUUUUUGUAGCCGUGGGCUCCCCUAAUGCUUUCCUCUCCACAAUGUUGUUUCAUUAUAUCAUGUCCAUCAUGUGACACCGGAGAGGCCUCUCUAUGGAAACUUAAAGGGGCUCCCACGUGACUGCAGCAGCAACAACAGCGGCAGCGGCUGGAGUGGCGGCGGCGGCCGCAGCGUUCCUGCCACCACCCACCGGGAGCCCCUCGCAGCAUCCCGAAGGGGCUUCUGGAGCCUGCAGAAGCCCAGAUAAGGGAGCCACAGCAUCCGGGAGCUGUGGCGUCUGUGCGUGCGUGUAGCCUUUGCUCGUUACAGAGGAAACCGAACAGAAGGCGCGUCCUUAAAUCCUUUCCCACAGUCGCAAAACCCACGCUCUGCUAAAAUGACAUUUCGUGGCUCCUACUUUAUUUUCCCCAAGAGCAAGUUUUCUACCGGGGCUGAUGAAUUUUUACAAAGUCAAAAAGAAAAACCGGAUUUCUCUCUGCGAGUUCAGCCGGCUCUUGGGUGGAACAGAAAUGACAAAACAAUAAUAACAGAAAUAGAACCAGGCAUUUGAUACAUAAUUACCAUCACCACCAGCUUUAAAGCUUUCUGGAAUUACAUUCCUCCGGUAACUGUUGAUGAUGCUUGCAGGAGGCUAAAUGCAAUGCAGUUUUUCUCUUCCGCAGCUAUAUUAGGGCUUUGUUGCUGACAACAGUAAAAACUUGUUUGUGUCAGGAAGUGAGGUACGAAGAUAUGACCUGGAAGGUACAGACAAAACCAAAGUGGCAGUUUUUGCAUUACUUUUCUGACCACAUUCUUUCAAAUGGUGAGAAGCAGCUGGUUUGCUGUAAAAUGCAUAGCGUGCGUUUUGGUGGGAAAUAAAAUAAUCACAAAAACACAUGUUUUCCUUAAUCAUACUGUACAUGCUAGACACUAGAAAUGAUGUAUAUGUAUCUAUGUGUGUAUGUGUGAGUAGAGAGAGAAAGAAGAAGAGCAGGUGCAUUUUUAGGAUCGUUUUAGCCAAUAAUUUUGUCAUCAUUUCCAGUGCAUUUAACUGAAAUACUUAGCAAACACUCUGACUUAUUCAAGUACAGUGUUGUGUGGAAGCUAUAACACCAGUUUUGAGUGCCCUCAGUAUUACUGAAUCACAACCCCUAUAAGUGCUUAUGCCUUAAAUCCCAAAUCUCUGCCUUAAAGUUUUUGUGCACCAUGGAGAUUUUAUGCUAUAAAGCUAAGCAACGCAGCUA